CCUACGGGCGACAGCAGUGGGGAAUAUUGCACAAUGGGGGAAACCCUGAUGCAGCGACGCCGCGUGAGUGAAGAAGUAAUUCGUUAUGUAAAGCUCUAUCAGCAGGGAAGAAAAUGACGGUACCUGAGUAAGAAGCCCCGGCUAACUACGUGCCAGCAGCCGCGGUAAUACGGCGGGGGCAAGCGUUAUCCGGAUUUACUGGGUGUAAAGGGAGCGUAGACGGGAGUGCAAGUCUGGAGUGAAAGGCGGGGGCUCAACCCCCGGACUGCACUGGAAACUGUACGGCUGGAGUACAGGAGAGGUAGGUGGAAUUCGUGGUGUAGCGGUGAAAUGCGUAGAUAUUACGAGGAACACCGAUUGCGAAGGCGGCUUGCUGGACUGUAACUGACGUUGAGGCUCGAAAGCGUGGGGAGCAAACAGGAUUAGAUACCCUUGUAGUC
rnacentral:rRNA from 1 species